rnacentral:rRNA from 1 species
GACGAACGCUGGCGGCGUGCCUAACACAUGCAAGUCGAACGGAACUGUUUUGAAAGAUUUCUUCGGAAUGAAUUUGAUUUAGUUUAGUGGCGGACGGGUGAGUAACGCGUGAGUAACCUGCCUUCAAGAGGGGGAUAACAUUUUGAAAAGAAUGCUAAUACCGCAUGACAUAUCGGAACCACAUGAUUUUGAUAUCAAAGAUUUUAUCGCUUGAAGAUGGACUCGCGUCCGAUUAGUUAGUUGGUGAGGUAACGGCUCACCAAGACCGCGAUCGGUAGCCGGACUGAGAGGUUGAACGGCCACAUUGGGACUGAGACACGGCCCAGACUCCUACGGGAGGCAGCAGUGGGGGAUAUUGCGCAAUGGGGGCAACCCUGACGCAGCAACGCCGCGUGAAGGAUGAAGGUUUUCGGAUUGUAAACUUCUUUUAUUAAGGACGAAACUUGACG